rnacentral:rRNA from 1 species
UUGAACGCUGGCGGCAGGCCUAACACAUGCAAGUCGAGCGGAUGAAGGGAGCUUGCUCCUGGAUUCAGCGGCGGACGGGUGAGUAAUGCCUAGGAAUCUGCCUGGUAGUGGGGGAUAACGUCCGGAAACGGGCGCUAAUACCGCAUACGUCCUGAGGGAGAAAGUGGGGGAUCUUCGGACCUCACGCUAUCAGAUGAGCCUAGGUCGGAUUAGCUAGUUGGUGGGGUAAAGGCCUACCAAGGCGACGAUCCGUAACUGGUCUGAGAGGAUGAUCAGUCACGCUGGAACUGAGACACGGUCCAGACUCCUACGGGAGGCAGCAGUGGGGAAUAUUGGACAAUGGGCGAAAGCCUGAUCCAGCCAUGCCGCGUGUGUGAAGAAGGUCUUCGGAUUGUAAAGCACUUUAAGUUGGGAGGAAGGGCAGUAAGUUAAUACCUUGCUGUUUUGACGUUACCAACAGAAUAAGCACCGGCUAACUUCGUG